rfam:Gorilla gorilla gorilla genomic chromosome, chr1, whole genome shotgun sequence
GCCAGGUGUGGUGGCUGAGGCCUGUAGUCCCAGUUACUUUGGAGGCUGAGGUAGGAGGAUGGCUUGAGCCCAGGAGUUCAAGGCUGCAGUGUGCCAUCAACGCACCCACUGCAUUCCAGUCUGGGCAACAGAGCAAGAUCCUAUUUCUU